rnacentral:rRNA from 1 species
CAGUCGCCGCGGUAAUACGUAGGGUGCAAGCGUUAAUCGGAAUUACUGGGCGUAAAGCGUGCGCAGGCGGUUUGUUAAGACAGAUGUGAAAUCCCCGGGCUCAACCUGGGAACUGCAUUUGUGACUGGCAGGCUAGAGUAUGGCAGAGGGGGGUGGAAUUCCGCGUGUAGCAGUGAAAUGCGUAGAUAUCGGAAGGAACACCUGUGGCGAAGGCGGCUCACUGGACAAUAACUGACGCUGAUGCACGAAAGCUAGGGGAGCAAACAGGAUUAGAUACCCCUGUAGUCCCUGUCUCUUAUAC